rnacentral:ribozyme from 1 species
ACCACGCUUACAUUUUAGUAUAGAAUCCUUCCAGCCUUUCAGGUUUCAGCCACGUUAAAAACCAGGAUAGCCAUACAGACCGUGCACAUGUAGUCCCGCUUAUCUGAGCUUGGGUAAACGGGUCCAAUCCCAACCCCUUGGGAAGAUGGGGUUGCAUGGCUAAGACAGAAGGG